rnacentral:lncRNA from 1 species
AAUAAGCAAGCAAUGAACUAAUCAAUAUGCCUAACAAGCUACGAGGUACCUAUGCAGUCGAUUGUUCUGCUAAUUCUUUAGGACAAUAGAAUGCAAAAAAGUUCCCUGACAUCGUUUUACUACUAGUUAUCAAGUCAACCUGCUGGGCAACAGCUCCAAUGUCAUGAUGCACCAUGAGCAACCAGACGAAGGUGAGGAGCUCUCCUCCUCUGCCUAGCUGCUGAGCGUGCAGCUCCACUUGGCACUUGCCAGCAACAUAAAUGAGAAGCCUCAUCCACAUAUCUCUAAUCUCCACCAGCGUCUCGAGCCAUGCCCGAGGCUCCUCCUGCUCUGUGAGGCAUUCCUCAUAACCAAACUCCAGGUGAUCUUCCACUAGCUGGUAACAAGUCCCCAGAACAUCCUGUUUUCUGCUGCCUUUGUUGAUGAUCUUCUCAUAGAAUGAUGCUAUCGUGUCCUGUGCAGAACCACUCAGUGGCAACAUGGAAGGCUGCAUAACCAAGAGGUAGGCUAUGUAAUUGGAUAUCUUUCUGCAUGUGUCCAUGAUAUCAGCGGUACUGGUUGAUGUUGCCUCGCUACCAAUGACAUUUAAGUCAGGUUGUUUUCGCAAAUGCAGGUCAGUGUAUAUAUGCAGGAGAACAAUGUUAUUACCAAAUGAAUUAGCAGGAAUGUUCAGCGUGCAAUUGAUAAUAGGUUGAAGAUUUACCCAGUUUUGCUCCUGUAUAAUCCUCGUAAACUCUUCGCGAGCAAGACGUCUCACCCAUGUCACGACGUUCUCCAUGAUAUCCUUGUUCACCUUGGCAUGCUUGGUGUGCCAUAUCUUUCUGAACCAGAGCUUCUUGUUGACUGCAUUCAGCAUCUUUCUUAGGAUAGUCAACAUUUUGGAUGAUGACCUUGGCUCGUCAAAUCCUAUGCAGGAGCUCAAGAAGCUGAACUGU